rnacentral:misc_RNA from 1 species
UGUCUAACUUGGGUAUAGG